rnacentral:rRNA from 1 species
UACGUAGGGGGGCAAGCGUUGUCCGGAAUUAUUGGGCGUAAAGCGCGUGUAGGCGGCUCGGUAAGUCUGCUGUGAAAGUCCAGGGCUCAACCCUGGAAAGCCGGUGGAUACUGUCGAGCUAGAGUCCGGAAGAGGCGAGUGGAAUUCCUGGUGUAGCGGUGAAAUGCGCAGAUAUCAGGAGGAACACCGAUGGCGAAGGCAGCUCGCUGGGACGGUACUGACGCUGAGACGCGAAAGCGUGGGGAGCAAACAGG